GAGUGAAACCAAACUCAUGUAUAACUGGUCAAAUCAAGUAUCUACAUUAGAAUCAUAGAAAACUAUACAUAAUCCAAACAAUAAAGAGAAUUAGCUAAGCAUAGCCUUACAAUACAUAAUCAAGAAGAGAUGGAAUAGUUAUAUUGAAUUCCUCAAGCUCCUUUCUUCUCCUCUCUCUCUAUAUAUAUGAAAAAGGUCUCCAAAAACCGGUGCUUUGAUCUUUAUUUAUAAGUUUUCUAAAGUGAAAAUUUGUUGGGCAAAUAGUAUGUUCCUUCAGCAAAUUGCAUUUCUUCACCAUGA
rnacentral:lncRNA from 1 species